rnacentral:rRNA from 1 species
GACGAACGCUGGCGGCGUGCUUAACACAUGCAAGUCGAACGGAAAGGCCCUGCUUUUGUGGGGUGCUCGAGUGGCGAACGGGUGAGUAACACGUGAGUAACCUGCCCUUGACUUUGGGAUAACUUCAGGAAACUGGGGCUAAUACCGGAUAGGAGCUCCUGCUGCAUGGUGGGGGUUGGAAAGUUUCGGCGGUUGGGGAUGGACUCGCGGCUUAUCAGCUUGUUGGUGGGGUAGUGGCUUACCAAGGCUUUGACGGGUAGCCGGCCUGAGAGGGUGACCGGCCACAUUGGGACUGAGAUACGGCCCAGACUCCUACGGGAGGCAGCAGUGGGGAAUAUUGCACAAUGGGCGGAAGCCUGAUGCAGCAACGCCGCGUGCGGGAUGACGGCCUUCGGGUUGUAAACCGCUUUCGCCUGUGACGAAGCGUGAGUGACGGUAAUGGGUAAAGGAGAACCGGCUAACUACGUG